UACAGAGGUGGCAAGCGUUGUUCGGAUUUAUUGGGCGUAAAGGGUUCGUAGGCGGCCUGAUAAGUUGGAUGUGAAAGCCCACAGCUCAACUGUGGAAUUGCAUUCAAAACUAUUAGGCUCGAGUGUGAGAGGGAUGAAGGGAAUUCCCGGUGUAAGGGUGAAAUCUGCAGAGAUCGGGAGGAACACCAGUCGCGAAGGCGCUUCUCUGGCUCACAACUGACGCUGAGGGACGAAAGCUAGGGUAGCAAACAGG
rnacentral:misc_RNA from 1 species